rnacentral:rRNA from 1 species
GAUGAACGCUGGCGGCGUGCUUAACACAUGCAAGUCGAACGAUGAAGCCCAGCUUGCCGGGUGGAUUAGUGGCGAACGGGUGAGUAACACGUGAGUAUCCUCCCCUUAGCUCUGGGAUAAGUCUGGGAAACUGGGCUUAUUACCCGAUAGGAGCGUCCACCGCAUUGGGGGUGCUGUGAAGCUUUCUCGGUUUUGGAUGGACUCGCGGCCUAUCCCCUUGUUUGGGGGGUAUGGUCGCACCACGGCAAAGCCGGAGCUCCGGCCUGAGAAGGUGGACGGGCACCAUGGGACUGAGGGACGGCCCAGACUCCUACGGGAGGCAACAGUGGGGAAUAUUGCACAAUGGGCGCGAGCCUGAUGCAACGACGCCGGGUGAGGGAUGACGGCCUUCGGGUUGUAAACCUCUUUCAGUAGGGAAGAAGCGGAAGUGACGGUACCUGCAGAAGAAGCACCGGCUAACUACGUG